rnacentral:rRNA from 1 species
GAUGAACGCUGGCGGCGUGCUUAACACAUGCAAGUCGAACGGGAAACCUUUUAUUGAAGCUUCGGCAGAUUUUGCUGGUUUCUAGUGUCGGACGGGUGAGUAACGCGUGGGUAACCUGCCUUAUACAGGGGGAUAACAGUCAGAAAUGGCUGCUAAUACCGCAUAAGCGCACAGAGCUGCAUGGCCCAGUGUGAAAAACUCAGGUGGUAUAAGAUGGACCCGCGUUGGAUUAGCUGGUGGGUGGGGUAACGGCCCACCAAGGCGACGAUCCAUAGCCGGCCGGGAGGGGGGAACGGCAACAUUGGGACUGAGACACGGCCCAGACCCUUACGGGAGGCAGCAGGGGGGAAUAUUGCACAAUGGGGGAAACCCUGAUGCAGCGAGGCGGCGUGAAGGAAGAAGUAUCUCGGUAGGUAAACUUCUAUAAGCAGGGAAGAUAAUGACGGUACCGGACUAAGAAGCCCCGGCAAACUACGG